GUGGGGAAUUUUGGACAAUGGGCGCAAGCCUGAUCCAGCGACGCCGCGUGGAGGACGAAGGCCUUCGGGUUGUAAACUCCUUCUGGAGGGGAAGAAUAAAUUGACGGUACCCUCAGAAAAAGCCACGGCUAACUACGUGCCAGCAGCCGCGGUCAUACGUAGGUGGCGCGCGUUACUCGGAAUUACUAGGCGUAAAGCGUAUGUAGGUGGUUAGAUAAGUCUAUGGUGAAAUUUCCUGGCUUAACUGGGAAGGGACAUAGAUACUAUCUGGCUGGAGUGUGGGAGGGGGAGGCGAAAUUCCUAGGGUAGCGGUGAAAUGCGUAGAUAUCAGGAAGAACACCGAUGGCGAAAGCAGUCUCCUGGCCCAAUACUGACACUGAGGUACGAAAGCUAGGGUAGCAAACAGGAUUAGAUACCCUAGUAGUCC
rnacentral:rRNA from 1 species